UACAGAGGGUGCGAGCGUUGUCCGGAAUCACUGGGCGUAAAGGGCGCGUAGGCGGCUCGGUCAGCGUGCGGUGAAAGCCCGGGGCUCAACCCCGGGUCGGCCGUGCGAACUGCUGGGCUGGAGCACUGUAGAGGCAGGGUGGAAUUCCGGGUGUAGCGGUGGAAUGCGUAGAGCAUCCGGAAGAACACCGGUGGCGAAGGCGGCCUGCUGGGCAGUAGCUGACGCUGAUGCGCGACAGCGUGGGGAGCAAACAGG
rnacentral:rRNA from 1 species